rnacentral:rRNA from 1 species
UACGGAGGGUGCAAGCAUUAAUCGGAUUUAUUGGGCGUAAAGGGCGCGUAGGCGGGAAAGAAAGUUAGAUGUGAAAGCCUGAGGCUUAACUUCAGAACAGCAUCUAAAACUCCUUUUCUAGAGGAUGAGCGGGGAAAAUGGAAUUCCACAUGUAGCGGUGAAAUGCGUAGAUAUGUGGAGGAACACCGGUGGCGAAGGCGAUUUUCUAGCUUAUUCCUGACGCUGAGGCGCGAAAGCAAGGGGAUCAAACAGG